rnacentral:rRNA from 1 species
AACUUACCAGGUCAAGACAUGGGCGUGAUUGACAGGCUAAUGACUUUUCUCGAUUCCAUGGAUGGUGGUGCAUGGUCGCACUUAGUUGGUGCAGUGAUUUGUCAGGUUUAUUUCGGUAACGAACGAGACCUCGGCCUUGUAAAUAGCUAUGCUGCUUACAGGGACAUUGGCGGCUACGCCAAGGAAGCUCGAGGCAAUUGCAGAUCUGGAAUGCCCUUAGAUGUCCUGGGUCGCACGCGUGCUACAAUGACGCCACGAACGAGCUUGCGUGAUGAAAGUUACGCAUAAUCAGCAGUCGGCGUCUUAAGGGAUAGUCUCUUGUAACUGUGGGACUCCAACUAGGAAUGUCUCGUAAGCACAAGUCAACAUCUUGUGUUGAUUACGUCCCUGCUCUUUGUACACACCGCCCGUCGCUCCUACCGAUCGAGUGUUUAGGUGAAUUUGAUGGACGUAAGGAAGUCAAAUAAACCUGAGCACUAGAGAAGAGAGUCGAGCCAUGC